UACGUAGGCAGCGAGCGUUGUUCGGAAUUACUGGGCGUAAAGAGUGUGUAGGCGGUGCCCUAAGUUCGGUGUGAAAUCUCCUGGCUCAACUGGGAGGGUGCGCCGGAAACUGGAGUGCUUGAGCGUGGGAGAGGAAAGCGGAAUUCCUGGUGUAGCGGUGAAAUGCGUAGAUAUCAGGAGGAACACCUGUGGUGUAGACGGCUUUCUGGACCAUAGCUGACGCUGAGACACGAAAGCGUGGGUAGCAAACAGG
rnacentral:rRNA from 1 species